rnacentral:rRNA from 1 species
GACGAACGCUGGCGGCGUGCUUAACACAUGCAAGUCGAACGAUGAAACCUAGCUUGCUAGGUCGAUUAGUGGCGAACGGGUGAGUAACACGUGACUAACCUGCCCCUUUCUCUGGGAUAACGCUCCGAAAGGAGUGCUAAUACAGGAUACUCACACCGAGGCAAAUGCCUUGGUGUGGAAAGUUUUUCGGAAAGGGAUGGAGUCGCGGCCUAUCAGCUUGUUGGUGAGGUAACGGCGCACCAAGGCGACGACGGGUAGCCGGCCUGAGAGGGCGACCGGCCACACUGGGACUGAGACACGGCCCAGACUCCUACGGGAGGCAGCAGUGGGGAAUAUUGCACAAUGGGCGCAAGCCUGAUGCAGCGACGCCGCGUGAGGGAUGAAGGUCUUCGGAUUGUAAACCUCUUUCAGUAGGGACGAAGCGAAAGUGACGGUACCUAAAGAAGAAGCACCGGCUAACUACGUGCCAGCCGCCGCGGUAA